AUCGGGUAAGUGUUUUGGUUACAUAUCAGUCUCAUAAGCUGAAGUUAGUAGGUUCGAUUCCUGCACCUGGUA
rnacentral:tRNA from 1 species